CUUCUGAGCUGAUGGCGCUCUCUGUGGUCCAGGACUCAUCGCUGUCAGAUUCCUCAUAGUCUACCUCCUCCUCGUCGUACUCACUGCCUGCAGGAGCAAAGAAAAGAGCAAGGGCUGUCAGGAAUGGUCCCUCACCACAGAUUUGAGCCGGGAAGAUGAAGAGCACUUUUGGCACUGAAAGAGGGUUACAACAAGUUUCAGAACAAAGAAGAGCAGCUGCAGACCUGGGUUCCUGCGUUGGCUUUCAUCAGCCAAGGGACAGCCUGCUGGGCUUCUACUUUCUCGUCAAUGAAAUGGAUGCAGAUAUCUUCCUGGCAGAUUUAAAGAUUAGAAUUCAUGUCUAUAGAGCCUCACAGUGCUCAGCAAAUGGAGGACAAUAAAAGAAAAUCAUUUUUGUAAUACAUAUAGAAUAAUAUUUUCAGAAAAGUGUCUUUUGAAUCUAAAUUAAAAUAAUAGUUCUGAAAGGGUUGGGAGUCCCUAUACAAGACAAAAUACACUGUGAAUUUGUAACAACAAUUUCCACUAUUAUGUAAAAUUAUAAUGCUCCAAUUAAAAAAAAAGAUGCGGUGUGAAUUUGUAACAAUGAUUCCCACUGUUGUGUAAAACUGUAAUGCACCAAUUAAAAACAAAAACAAAAAAGGACAAAACUGCUUUGACUUUUCAGUGCAGGUGGAGCAAAGCAUACCCCCACAUCCCAGUUCAGUGAGGUCACAGAUACCAGGCUGGAGGCACAGGCAGGAGCUUGAGUGCACAUGGGAACCCCAUUGCUACCACUGAAGUUGUGUGAACACAAGCAAGUGACACCACCUCUCUGAGCUUCAGACACCUUAUCUGCAAAAUGGGCUAAAAACAGUACCCACCCUUAAGAUUAUUGAGUUCCUGUCUUCAAAAGUACUUCAAACAAUGCCUGAGACAUGGCAUUAAGAAAAUGUUUGAUUUAGAAAUAAGAAAAAUAUCACAUGAGCAGUUUUAUUAUGCCAUUUACUGUUCUGACUCUUCUUGAGGACAGCCACAUUUUAAAACCAGAGGAAUAUGUAGGGUGUCUCCUUGAAUUUGCCUUCCUAUAACCCAGUUGCCACCCUUUUAUCAAACAGAAUUGCCAACUGCCUGAAGCAGCCAUUUCUCCUUGCAGCAGCCAGAGGGCCUACCAUGGGCACAGAGAAGCUGCAGUGGCUCUUAAUUAAGUCACCUGUGCUCACAUGCUGGUGUCCAUUCAGUGCCCCCUCCUGGAGCACCUGCCACUAGAGGCCACAGCUGUCCUGCAGAAAAGUUUGAGACCAAAACCACCUGUUCUCAGUCUCCUUUCAAACAUCUUAGAACUCUAAAAAGAACUGACCUCAUGAUAAAGUCACAUACUGAGUUAUAAAAAUGUCUGAGCAACUUUCUCUCUACUUUGCUUUAAUUUCCCAAUUUUCCAAAAGAGGAAAAUAAAUCCCAGCCUCACUCAUCUUCAAUGUCUUCUUCAUCUGCUAUCUCCAGACUCACUCCAGAAUGAUGAAAUUCUCCGCAAUCCCUGGAUUCUACCUGGGAACUCCUCACCCAUUCAGGAAUACAGGAGGGAGCAAGGCUGUUUCGCCUAACAAUGGUCUCCCUAUAAUAUCCUGGUCAAUAAAAAAAGUCAUGAGCACAACCCUAAGUAUGAGUCUGUGAAUAUUUUUAGUAUAAAUGCCGUAAGUGUACGUACUCAUAUA